GAGAAAAGAAGUAUUGGUCUUGUGAUCCUUGAAGAUAUGAAUAAGAAAAAGCAUGCUGAUUGUCAGUCUAAACUUCACUGCGGAUGGCUUUAUAAUAAGGAGCUAGACAGUCAAGGGGCAGGGAACAGGAUGGAUGGAGGUGAGAUGGGUGUGCAAUUGAGUCAGUUGCUGGGAGUGAGGCCUGAUUUGCUUUCCCAUGGUGUCCUCUGCACAGUGGUCCCAGGUGUUCCUACUUGUGCAUCAAACCUACGGUCAGAGGUUUUAAAGACUUGUUUCAAGCUGAGUUUCCCCUCCAUUUGCUCCUGAGCUAGAUAAGUUGAUAAUUGUCUUUUUGAAGUUCUUUUGUACAGCCCAGAUCUUAACCUAUUUUAUUUCUUAGUUUUGUUUCAUACCACUUUUGGCAACUUUUUGAUGGCCUGCAUUUUCAUUUCUUACUAUCAUGGCAUUAUUUACAUUCUGGACUCACAUUUGCUUUCAGAAAUAGUAGUUCUCAAACUGGGUUGUAUGUUAGAAUCACUUGAAUCCCACUCUUAGAGAUUCAGAUUUAAUUAUCUG
rnacentral:lncRNA from 1 species